rnacentral:lncRNA from 1 species
UUUUUCUCUCAUUUCCUGCAUUUUCCCCUCAUUUUCCUGCUUUUUUCCUCAUUUCCUGCUUUUUUUCUCAUUUUCUGCUUUUGUCCCCCAUUUUCCUGCUUUUUCCCCCAUUUUCCUGCUUUUUUCCUCAUUUUCCUGCUUUUUUCCCCAAUUUUCCUGAUUUUUCCCUCAUUUUCCUGCUUUUUUCUUCCUUUUCUUGCUUUUUUCUUCUUUUCCUUCUUUUUCCCCCAGUUUUCCUGCAUUUUUGCCAAUUUUCCUGAUUUUUCUCUCAUUUCCUGCAUUUUCCCCUCAUUUUUCUGCUUUUUUCCUCAUUUCCUGCUUUUUUUCUCAUUUUCUGCUUUUGUCCCUCAUUUUCCUGCUUUUUUCCCCAUUUUCCUGCUUUUUCCUCAUUUUCUGCUUUUUUCCCCCGUUUUUCUGAUUUUCCCUCAUUUUCCUGCUUUUUUCCCCAUUUUUCUGAUUUUCCUGCAUUUUCCUGCAUUUUCCCUCAUUUUCCUGCUUUUUCCCCAUUUUCCUGCUUCCCCCCCCCAUUUUCCUGCUUCCUCCCCCCAUUUUCCUGCUUUUUUCCUUAAUUUCCCUGAUUUUUUUUCCCUUUCCUGCCCUUUUCCAUCGUUGCUUGAUCCCGAAGGAUUCGGAGCUCUGAUCCCAAAAUUUGGGGCUUUGAUCCCAAGAAUUUUGGGGUUUGUUCCUGAAAUUUGGGGCCCUGAUCCCAAAAUCCCGUGGGAUCCUCCCAGAAUUCCAGGAUUUUACCCCCAGAUCCUUCUGGAAUUCCCCGGAAUUCUUUGGGAUCUUCCGGGAAUUCCUGGAAUUUCCCCCCAAUUCCUUUUGGGAUCCCCCUGGAAUUUCCGGAAUUUUGGGAUCCCUUGGAAUCCAUUUGUGAUCCCCUGGAAUUCCUGGAAUUUCCCCCCAAAUCCUUUUGGGAUCCCCCUGGAAUUUCUGGAAUUUUCCCCCAAAUCCUUUCGGGAUCCCCCUGGAAUUUUCCCCCAAAUCCUUUUGGGAUCCCCCUGGAAUUUUCCCUGGAAUNNNNNNNNNNUUCCCCCAAAUCCUUUUGGCAUCCCCUGA